CCACACGACCGUACCGCAAACCGACACUGGUGCGCGAGAUGAGUAUUCUAAGGCGCUUGAGAGAACUCAGGAGAAGGAACUCGGCAAAUUGACACCGUAACUUCGGAAGAAGGUGUGCCUUUAGUAGGUGAACCUGUACAAGGGGAGCCCAAUGAGGUUGCAAAAAAUCGGUGGCUGCGACUGUUUAAUAAAAACACAGCACUCUGCAAACACGAAAGUGGACGUAUAGGGUGUGACGCCUGCCCGGUGCUGGAAGAUUAAAUGAUGGGGUGCAAGCUCUUGAUUGAAGUCCCAGUAAACGGCGGCCGUAACUAUAACGGUCCUAAGGUAGCGAAAUUCCUUGUCGGGUAAGUUCCGACCUGCACGAAUGGCGUAACGAUGGCCACACUGUCUCCUCCUGAGACUCAGCGAAGUUGAAAUGUUUGUGAUGAUGCAAUCUCCCCGCGGAAAGACGGAAAGACCCCAUGAACCUUUACUGUAGCUUUGUAUUGGACUUUGAACAGAUCUGUGUAGGAUAGGUGGGAGGCUUUGAAGUGUGGUCGCUAGAUCGCAUGGAGCCAACGUUGAAAUACCACCCUGGUGUGUUUGAGGUUCUAACCUAGGCCCGUAAUCCGGGUCGGGGACAGUGCAUGGUAGGCAGUUUGACUGGGGCGGUCUCCUCCCAAAGCGUAACGGAGGAGUUCGAAGGUACGCUAGGUACGGUCGGACAUCGUGCUAAUAGUGCAAUGGCAUAAGCGUGCUUAACUGCGAGACUGACAAGUCGAGCAGAUGCGAAAGCAGGACAUAGUGAUCCGGUGGUUCUGUAUGGAAGGGCCAUCGCUCAACGGAUAAAAGGUACUCUGGGGAUAACAGGCUGAUACCGCCCAAGAGUUCAUAUCGACGGCGGUGUUUGGCACCUCGAUGUCGGCUCAUCUCAUCCUGGGGCUGUAGCCGGUCCCAAGGGUAUGGCUGUUCGCCAUUUAAAGAGGUACGUGAGCUGGGUUUAAAACGUCGUGAGACAGUUUGGUCCCUAUCUUCCGUGGGCGCUGCAGAUUUGAGGAAGCCUGCUCCUAGUACGAGAGGACCGGAGUGGACACACCUCUGAUGUAUCGGUUGUCACGCCAGUGGCAUUGCCGAGUAGCUAUGUGUGGAAGAGAUAACCGCUGAAAGCAUCUAAGCGGGAAACUCGUUUCAAGAUGAGAUCUGCCGGGGCCUUGAGCCCCCUAAAGAGUCGUUCAAGACCAGGACGUUGAUAGGUCGGGUGUGGAAGCGCAGUAAUGCGUUAAGCUAACCGAUACUAAUUGCUCGUGCGGCUUGACC
rnacentral:rRNA from 1 species